AAUCAACGCUGGCGGCGUGCCUCAGACAUGCAAGGCGAACGAUUAAAGCUCCCUUCGGCGAGUGCAUAGAGUGGCGCACGGGUGAGUAACACGUAAGUAAUCUACCUUCGAGUGGGGAAUAACAGUCGGAAACGACUGCUAAUACCGCAUACUGCAGCGGCACCUAAGGGUGACAGUUGUUAAAGGGGUAAUUCGCUUGAAGAGGAGCUUUCGGCAGAUUAGCUAGUUGGUAAGGUAAUGGCUUAACAAGGCUACGAUCUGUAACCGGUCUAAGAGGACGGUCGGUCACACUGACACUGAACAACGGGUCAGACUCCUACGGGAGGCAGCAGUCGGGAAUUUUGGGCAAUGGGCGAAAGCCUGACCCAGCAACGCCGCGUGAAGGAUGAAGUAUUUCGGUAUGUAAACUUCGAAAGAAUGGGAAGAAUAAAUGACGGUACCAUUUAUAAGGUCCGGCUAACUACGUGCCAGCAGCCGCGGUAACAC
rnacentral:rRNA from 1 species